ACGAACGCUGGCGGCGUGCUUCACACAUGCAAGUCGAACGGAAAGGCCCUGCUUUUGUGGGGUGCUCGAGUGGCGAACGGGUGAGUAACACGUGAGUAACCCGCCCUUGACUUUGGGAUAACUUCAGGAAACUGGGGCUAAUACCGGAUAGGAGCUCCUGCUGCAUGGUGGGGGUUGGAAAGUUUCGGCGGUUGGGGAUGGACUCGCGGCUUAUCAGCUUGUUGGUGGGGUAGUGGCUUACCAAGGCUUUGACGGGUAGCCGGCCUGAGAGGGUGACCGGCCACAUUGGGCCUGAGAUACGGCCCAGACUCCUACGGGAGGCAGCAGUGGGGAAUAUUGCACAAUGGGCGGAAGCCUGAUGCAGCAACGCCGCGUGCGGGAUGACGGCCUUCGGGUUGUAAACCGCUUUCGCCUGUGACGAAGCGUGAGUGACGGUAAUGGGUAAAGAAGCACCGGCUAACUACGUG
rnacentral:rRNA from 1 species